GAUCAUGGCUCAGGACGAACGCUGGCGGCGCGCCUAACACAUGCAAGUCGAACGGAGCUUGAGAGAGCUUGCUUUCUUGAGCUUAGUGGCGAACGGGUGAGUAACGCGUGAGGAACCUGCCUCAAAGAGGGGGACAACAGUUGGAAACGACUGCUAAUACCGCAUAAGCCCACGGAUCCGCAUGGAUCAGAGGGAAAAGGAGCAAUCCGCUUUGAGAUGGCCUCGCGUCCGAUUAGCUAGUUGGUGAGGUAACGGCCCACCAAGGCGACGAUCGGUAGCCGGACUGAGAGGUUGAACGGCCACAUUGGGACUGAGACACGGCCCAGACUCCUACGGGAGGCAGCAGUGGGGAAUAUUGCACAAUGGAGGAAACUCUGAUGCAGCGACGCCGCGUGGAGGAAGAAGGUCUUCGGAUUGUAAACUCCUGUUGUUAGGGAAAAUCGAGAUGGUACCUAACAAGGAAGUGACGGCUAACUACGUGCCAGCAGCCGCGGUAAAACGUAGGUCACAAGCGUUGUCCGGAAUUACUGGGUGUAAAGGGAGCGCAGGCGGGUAUGCAAGUUGGAAGUGAAAUACAUGGGCUCAACCCAUGAACUGCUUUCAAAACUGUGUAUCUUGAGUAGUGCAGAGGUAGGCGGAAUUCCCGGUGUAGCGGUGGAAUGCGUAGAUAUCGGGAGGAACACCAGUGGCGAAGGCGGCCUACUGGGCACCAACUGACGCUGAGGCUCGAAAGUGUGGGUAGCAAACAGGAUUAGAUACCCUGGUAGUCC
rnacentral:rRNA from 1 species